GAUGAAGAACGUAGUAAAAUGCGAUAAGUAAUGUGAAUUGCAGAAUUCAGUGAAUCAUCGAAUCUUUGAACGCACAUUGCGCCCGCUGGUAUUCCGGCGGGCAUGCCUGUUCGAGCGUCAUUUCAACCCUCAAGCCCCCGGGUUUGGUGUUGGGGAUCGGCUCUGCCCUCUGGGCGGUGCCGCCCCCGAAAUACAUUGGCGGUCUCGCUGCAGCCUCCAUUGCGUAGUAGCUAACACCUCGCAACUGGAACGCGGCGCGGCCAUGCCGUAAAACCCCAACUUCUGAAUGUUGACCUCGGAUCAGGUAGGAAUACCCGCUGAACUUAAGCAUAUCAAUAAGCGGAGGA
rnacentral:misc_RNA from 1 species